GCUAUUCUGUACAUUACGUGUUGUUAAAGUUAAUAGUAUUCAUAGAUCUGCUUGACAAUGUCAUAUAUUCUCCUUUUUCUAUGAUAGUGUAAUGUUGCUAGGCGACCAGCCUGCUAACUAAACGUUAGCUAAAUACUCUCUGGGUUCUAGACUCAAACACGCUGUAAUUCAGUCUUUAGAUCAAUGUGUCCAACUUGUGAUACAGUAAAAUCAACACCACUGUGAACAUUUGAACACACUGUCAGACUCAGAUCCACCUUUUUCACUCAAUGAUGUUCUGAUGAACUUACUGCAGCACUGCCAACAGUAGUUGUUGAUGUAACUCACUUUCCUUUACACAGGAGAUCUGAUCUUUAGAUAUUGGUGUAUUUUUUUAUUCAGCCUCUGUUGAUCAUCAUAACUUCAUAGCAUUUAUUCAGACAUUCUCAACACAGACACAUGGUGAUACAGGACUGUGGACCAGAACAUGUUAUCAGGAGAUACAAAUGAUUUCAGCCUGUCUCACUGUGCCUGAUAGAAAAUGUAUCCCCUCUAUAAUCCUCAGGUGAUGGACUAACAUCAUCUGCUUUAUUCUGUACACAUUUAUCAUCAUUCAUAAUAAAACUUGUGAAUUAGGAACAGUUUCACUUUUGUGGAGAAGAAGAACAUGAGACAGAUGUGACCUCAUGCUUUGUGUUCUCAGAUGGUUCCACUUUUAGGCGUCCGGAAAGAAGAUAUGUCGUGUUGACUUCAAAAUAGUGUUGGAUGAAUCUUAUAAGAUGGGAACAGGUCCUGAUAGAAAAAACAGGCUGUGAUCAGUGGGAGGGGCCUAUAAUGUCACUGUAAAAUCCUUCGCCGUCACAUUCUAAAUGAUGUAUCUUUGCUAUUUUUUCAAUGACUCAGAGACACUUCUGUCUAUCUCUCUGUCUGUGUGGCUGUCUGUUUUGUGUCUGUCUGUCUGUCUGUGUAGCUGUGUGUGUCUGUACGUGUGUCUGUGUGUGUGUGUGUAUCUGUCUGUUGGUGUGUCUGUCUGUCUGUGUAGCUGUGUGUGUCUGUCUGUUGGUGUGUCUGUCUGUUUGUCUGUGUGUUUGUCUGUCUGUGUGGCUGUGUCUGUCUGUCUGUGUGUGUCUGUCUGUCUGUUGGUGUGUCUGUCUAUCUGUGUAUGUGUGUGUGUGUCUUUCUGUGUAUGUCUGCCUGUCUGUUUGUCUGUCUAAUUGUCUGUCUGUCUGUGUGUCUGUCUGCCUGUCUGUCUGUUUGUCUGUCUAUGUUUCUGCCUGCCUGUCUGUGUGUGUGACUGUGUAA
rnacentral:lncRNA from 1 species